GACGAACGCUGGCGGCGUGCCUAAUACAUGCAAGUUGAGCGCUGAAGGUUGGUACUUGUACCAACUGGAUGAGCAGCGAACGGGUGAGUAACGCGUGGGGAAUCUGCCUUUGAGCGGGGGACAACAUUUGGAAACGAAUGCUAAUACCGCAUAAAAACUUUAAACACAAGUUUUAAGUUUGAAAGAUGCAAUUGCAUCACUCAAAGAUGAUCCCGCGUUGUAUUAGCUAGUUGGUGAGGUAAAGGCUCACCAAGGCGAUGAUACAUAGCCGACCUGAGAGGGUGAUCGGCCACAUUGGGACUGAGACGCGGCCCAAACUCCUACGGGAGGCAGCAGUAGGGAAUCUUCGGCAAUGGACGAAAGUCUGACCGAGCAACGCCGCGUGAGUGAAGAAGGUUUUCGGAUCGUAAAACUCGGUUGGUAGAGAAGAACGUUGGUGAGAGUGGAAAGCUCAUCAAGUGACGGUAACUACCCAGAAAGGGACGGCUAACUACGUG
rnacentral:rRNA from 1 species